UGGUAGCUCAGUUGGUAGAGCAGAGGACUGAAAAUCCUCGUGUCGGUGGUUCGAUUCCGCCCC
rnacentral:tRNA from 1 species